rnacentral:rRNA from 1 species
UACGGUGGCGAAAGCAAGAAGGAUACACCUGUUCCCAUGCCGAACACAGAAGUUAAGCUUCUUAACGCCGAAAGUAGUUGGUGGGCAACUGCC